rnacentral:rRNA from 1 species
GAUGAACGCUGGCGGCGUGCUUAACACAUGCAAGUCGAACGGUGAAAGAGAGCUUGCUCUCUGGAUCAGUGGCGAACGGGUGAGUAACACGUGAGCAAUCUGCCCCUGACUCUGGGAUAAGCGCUGGAAACGGCGUCUAAUACCGGAUACGAGCUGCGAAGGCAUCUUCAGCAGCUGGAAAGAACUUCGGUCAGGGAUGAGCUCGCGGCCUAUCAGCUAGUUGGUGAGGUAACGGCUCACCAAGGCGUCGACGGGUAGCCGGCCUGAGAGGGUGACCGGCCACACUGGGACUGAGACACGGCCCAGACUCCUACGGGAGGCAGCAGUGGGGAAUAUUGCACAAUGGGCGAAAGCCUGAUGCAGCAACGCCGCGUGAGGGACGACGGCCUUCGGGUUGUAAACCUCCUUUAGCAGGGAAGAAGCGAAAGUGACGGUACCUGCAGAAAAAGCGCCGGCUAACUACGUG